AAUACUAUUAAUACUUAUACAAUAAAUAUGCUAGAAAUGAUGAAAGACCUAAACUAUGUACCUAAUAGAACUGGAGACAAGUUGCAAUGCUACUGAAAAGAGAACUGCUUUUUAAAAAUUGAUUUCAAUUCAUUACAUACAUACAUAUUCCAGAUCGUAUUACAGUUACAGCUGACGACGAGGAUGACAAUUCAGCAGGGCCAAGUGGUGUUAGGCAAGAUGAAAGAUCAGGAAUAUUUUGCCUUGAUGAAGAACCUCCAGCAGAUGUGGAUACUUUGUUCGAAAAUCUAUCCUUUUUUGGAAUGGA